AUUGAACGCUGGCGGCAUGCCUUACACAUGCAAGUCGAACGGCAGCACGGGAGCAAUCCUGGUGGCGAGUGGCGAACGGGUGAGUAAUAUAUCGGAACGUGCCCAGUCGUGGGGGAUAACGCAGCGAAAGCUGUGCUAAUACCGCAUACGACCUAAGGAUGAAAGCGGGGGAUCGCAAGACCUCGCGCGAUUGGAGCGGCCGAUAUCAGAUUAGCUAGUUGGUGGGGUAAAGGCCCACCAAGGCGACGAUCUGUAGCUGGUCUGAGAGGACGACCAGCCACACUGGAACUGGGACACGGUCCAGACUCCUACGGGAGGCAGCAGUGGGGAAUUUUGGACAAUGGGCGCAAGCCUGAUCCAGCAAUGCCGCGUGCAGGAUGAAGGCCUUCGGGUUGUAAACUGCUUUUGUACGGAACGAAACGGCCCUUUCUAAUACAGAGGGCUAAUGACGGUACCGUAAGAAUAAGCACCGGCUAACUACGUGCCAGCCGCCGCAGUAAUAC
rnacentral:rRNA from 1 species